UUAAUUUAGUUAGACGGGUAUAUGUAAUAAGCGUUGAAUACAAGUAAGCCAGUGGGCACCAGAACAUUGCUCGCAGUCGUAAGUUAACUUAAAACGUUGAAAAUGGAAUUUAUUAAGAAUGUGCUUUCUUACGCUGUGAUUGUUUGGCUGGUAUUACCGGGUGGGAUAAGAACAGAAUUCCUCGACAAGAGCGGCAUAUGCAAGGUUGCUAACAGUUAUUGUGAGACGAGAUACUGGUGUAAAGAAGGAUUCACCGAGGUCAACCAAUUCUGUCUCGGAAAAAUUGACACCCAGUGUUCCAUGACGACAGAUUGUAUUCCGGAUGCAAUUUGCGCUAACUUCUCCGGAAGAAUGUACUGCGCAUGUCGAGACGGAUUCAAAGCGGAACUCAACAAAAAGGAAUGCCGCUUGAAAGUUGGAAGUCCUUGCAACGUGACAGCCGCCCAGUAUUGCAUCCACAACGCAGUUUGUGACGUGACUUUGGCACUUGCAAAUGCGAAGAAGGCUAUUCAACAAACAACAAUAACAGCGAAUGUCUAGGGAACGUUGGUUCCAUUUGUACUACCAUAAGUGAGUGCAUUCAGCACGCAGUAUGCAUAGCACACAAGUGUACAUGUGAGGACAUGUAUACACCUUCAUAUGACAAAACCAAGUGCAAAGGAAACGUUGAUGCCCCUUGCCAUACAAACUCGACGAGCUGCGUUGCCAACGCCGAGUGUAUUCAGGGCAAAUGUCGAUGUAAAGACGGUUAUCAUGGCACCAAAAUGUGCAACAAAGUUGUAUUGAUGGCAGAUUAUCCUCUGUAGAAAAAAAAUAAUGGCUACUUCCGGCUGGGGCGUCGCCGCCCUUAUCGGGAUUGUUUUUGUCGUGUACUGCUGUUGCAAACGUUGCCGCAAACUAGAGAAGCAACCUAUCAAGAAAUAAUUGGGUUUACAUUUA